GCGCGAUUAGCUCAGCUGGAUAGAGCGCUGCCCUCCGGAGGCAGAGGCCACAGGUUCGAAUCCUGUAUCGCGCGCCA
rnacentral:tRNA from 1 species